UACAGAGGGGGCAAGCGUUAUUCGGAAUUAUUGGGCGUAAAGGGCGCGUAGGCGGCCUGGCAAGUGGAAGGUGAAAUCCCUCGGCUUAACCGAGGAACUGCCCUCCAAACUGCUUGGCUUGAGACCGGGAGAGGUGAGUGGAAUUCCCAGUGUAGCGGUGAAAUGCGUAGAUAUUGGGAGGAACACCAGUGGCGAAGGCGGCUCACUGGACCGGUACUGACGCUGAGGCGCGAAAGCGUGGG
rnacentral:rRNA from 1 species